rnacentral:ncRNA from 1 species
AUAUUGCUGCCACCGGGCAGCGGUGCGGUUAAAAACAAGCACCCGAACACAUCGUUAGGUCUUAGAAGAUGUGUUCCGGGUGCUUUUUCGCA